rnacentral:rRNA from 1 species
AGCGAACGCUGGCGGUAGGCCUAACACAUGCAAGUCGAACGGCAGCACAGUAAGAGCUUGCUCUUACGGGUGGCGAGUGGCGGAAGGGUCAGGUAUACAUCGGACCCUACUCUUUCGUGGGGCAUAACGAAGGGAAACUUACGCCAAUACCGCAUACGCCCUACCGGUGAAAGCAGGGGAUCUUCGGGCCUUGCGCGAUUGAAUGAGCCGCUGUCGGAUUAGCUAGUUGGCGGGGUAAAGGCCAACCAAGGCGACGAUCCGUAGCUGGUCUGAGAGGAUGGUCGCCCACACGAGAGCGUGAACGGGGACCAGACUACUGAGAGAGGCAGCAGAGGGGAAUAUUAGACAGUGGUCGCGAGUCUGGCACAGCCGUACCACGUGUGUUAAGGAGGCCUUCGGGGUGUGAAGCCCGUUUGUUGGGAGAGAAAAGCAUCAGGUUGAUACCCCGCGGUUCUGACGGUACCCAGUGAAUAAGCACCGGCUAACUACGUG